GAAAGAGUAGUCUGGUGAACGUUGGAUUUUCAAGAGCAUUGUUUUUCGAGAUUGGGAGUAUAAAUGUAGGUAUUUUCGGCAUCAACCAUGGAGGAUUUAGCAGAUUUUCGGGAAAACUAACGGAGGUAAACAGGGAAACUUUUAAAGCUAACAGUUGGAACUUGCACAACACAACACUUGGGGUACUUCUGGUGUUCCAUAAGCUUUAUGAGGUAAAGGCAGGCUAACCAUUCACAUCUGCAAUGAAUGGGGGUUAUGCCUGUGUCCAGCCACAGAUGUGCACGAGGAGUGGAGUUUGGAGCCAGAAGGAUUGCACGAAGAAUUGAGUUUUGGAUUGUAUCCAGCUUCCUGGUAAGGGGAGAUCUGCCCUGAAGGAUACUUAGGUUCAGAUUCUUCCUAACCAGGAUUUUGAAGAAGUUUGCUCUUCGAGAAACCUUUGUAACUAAAUCUUGCAGAUGUUGGUUCCAGUUGAGCUUACGGUCAAAGGUGAUACCCAGGAAUUUGCCAUGACUGACGGCAGGGAUACUCUCACUGUUAAAGGUCAGAUGGAGAGGGACGUAGUUCUUAAUUCUUCUGUUGAACGAUAUGGAGAAACACUUGGACACAGAGAUUUGGAAUCUCCAGGUAGCACACCAUCUUUCAAAUUUUCUUAUUGCAGUUUCUAGCCUUUUUCGGGCUUUGCUUCUUAGGGAGUGAGUGCAGCGGGCUGAGAUGUCAUCCGCGAACAUUUUGACGAUAACGCCUAAAUUGUUUUUCGGGUUCCUACACAAGGGGAAGUCACGGGUCAUGAUAGUGAAGAGAAUGGGGCCCAGUACUGAGCCUUGGGGAACUCCGACGGAGAUGAUUUUGGCAUGUGACAGUGUACUGUCUAGUUUGACCCGAACCUUCCGCUGUAGCAGGAAGUUCAGGAGCCAUUUGAGGAUGUUCCCUGUAACUCGCGCUUGACUUAUUUUGAAGAGCAGCCCGGGUAGCCACACCAGGUCGUAAGCUUUUUUAAUGUCUAGAAAGACGC